ensembl:lncRNA
CUCCCCCUCCCUCUCCUCCCCCUCCCUCUCCUCCUCCUUCCCCUCCUCUCUUCUCCUCCCCCUCCCCUCUCCUCCCCUCCUCCUUAUGCUAAUCACGCCUCUCCUCUCCUUCCUCACCCGCCGUGCGUCUCUCUGCGCGCCGCCGUGACCGAGCACCGGAUCGGGGCGUCAGAAGAGUGAUUGGGGGGGAGAGCGGGGGAGAGAGGGGGAGGUGUACAGUUCGGUUCACCGUUUUCUCCGCACCGAGCCUCUCUGCGUUAUUGUGAACAUGAGGCGGCCGCUCGGCGCUCCGCGGACGGACGCGGCGUGUCGGCGCGCAGCAUAAAGGCGGAACCUGAGCCGAGCAGCGGAGCGGCGGAGCGGCGGCCCCGGAUCUGGAUCAGGAUCUGGAGGUUUUAAACAGCUGGAACCAGUUCAGUCCUGCGAUGGCUUCUCCUGUAAAAUGGAUGAUUUAAAGCAGAAACAAUGAAAACAAGGACACACAAAGAAUCGAUGCCCAUGCGCAGUGGGCGCCGACGGGGGGCGAGUGAGGAGCGACGGGGCAGACGACCACACAGCAGCCCGACGCGACCUGAACGCAACGACAGGCAGACGCAGAGAGGCGCUGCUGAGGAUUUGGCUGCAAGUCACUUCAGCCGCAGAUCCCAGGGCCAUGAUUCGUCAGAGAGCGAAGGGGAGGAGCUGGUGUCUCCUCCGAAGAGGCAGAAAGUUCAGGAUUCGGCCUCGACUCCGAACCCUCCAACAUCGACUCACUCCACCGACAGCUCGGCUCCCUCCACAGUCCCGCCUCCAACCUCUGCUGCCAGCCAAUCCCGCGAGAGCGACAAUGAGGACGGCCAAUCGCAGGGCAGCAGGAGUUCAGUGGUGGGCAGCCUGGCCAAUAGCAGCAGCAGUCUGAGCAGCGGGCGGGACAUCGACCAGGACAACCGGUCGUCCUCCCCCAGCCUGUCGGCCUCCCCCCUGGGCAGCCUGGACUCCGACUCGGACGGACCUGAUUCACCCAAGCAGGGAGACAAAGGAAAGGAGGGGAAGGUGUCGGGGGAGGACAGGAGGCGAGGGGAGGAGUCCUGUGGAGACGAAAAGAGAGACGUGGACGCCCGAUUGGAGGACUGUCCGUCCCUGAAGCCCCCCUCUACCCCCUGCUCCACCCCCUCCGCCGACAGGAAGUCCUUCUUCUCCCUCGACUCCAAGCUCAUGUGUAAAGUCGAGUUCGGUGGCAGCGAAGCAGCGCUCGCCGGCAGCAGGAUGACCUCCAAAGCUAGCACGCAGUGCGUUACCAAGACAACCAUCUCUGGGGCAGAUUUCUCACACAACAGCCCCAACCUGCCUCACCCACUGCCCCCACCACUACCCCUCCACCGGCCCUGAAGCCCCUGGAGUUCGGGCAGGUGGAGGUGAAAGUGGAGCGAGACAAACCAGACAAACCAGACAAACUGCUGGACAAGGCUCAGUCCGCCCCCCCCUCACUGCUGCCCCAGACCCCCCCUCAGCCCUCCGCCCACCACUACACCACCCCCAGCUGGCAGGGCGGCACGGCACCUGGUUGCCAGGGGAGCUGGGGCUAUUCCCGUUACCCCAGCAACCACCACCCACCACAGCCCCCAGUGCAACAGCAGCAGCUGCCCUCUGUGUACAACCCCCCCUCCGCCCGUCACUCUGCCUCCCAGCCCUCUUACCUCCCCCACCCUCACCCCCACCCCCACAGGGAGUACCUGCCCAGGUACGCUGGAGGGGGGGCGGACCGAGAGAGAGGGGGGGCAGGAGAGAGGGAGCGGGGAGUGAGGGGGGAGUGCGGGGGGAGGGAGUUCUCAGCUCCUA